GACGAACGCUGACAGAAUGCUUAACACAUCAGCAAUUGAUUGGUGGCGGACGGGUGAGUAACGCGUAAAGAACUUGCCUCACAGGCAGGGACAACAUUUGGAAACGAAUGAUAAUACCUAAUUCUGUGAGAGAGCUUUGCGUCCCAUUAGCUAGUUGGAGAGGUAACGGCUCACCAAGGCGAUGAGGGGUAGCCGGCCUGAGAGGGUGAUCGGGCACGAGAGGACUGAGGCAGUGCCCUUAAUGCUUCGGGAGGCAGCAGUGGGGAAUAUUGGGCAAUGAACCAAGGUCUGAUCCAGCAAUUCUGUGUGCACAAUGGAGUUUUCUGAAUGUAAAGUGCUUUCAAUUGGUAGGCGGUACCAACAGAAGAAGUGACGGCUAAAUACGUGCCAGCAGCCGCGGUAAUAC
rnacentral:rRNA from 1 species